UACGGGGGGGGCAAGCGUUGUUCGGAAUUACUGGGCGUAAAGGGCUCGUAGGCGGCCAACUAAGUCGGAUGUGAAAUCCCCAGGCUUAACCUGGGAACUGCAUCCGAUACUGGAUGGCUUGAAUCCGGGAGAGGGAUGCAGAAUUCCAGGUGUAGCGGUGAAAUGCGUAGAUAUCUGGAGGCAUACCGGUGGCGAAGGCGGCAUCCUGGACCGGCAUUGACGCUGAUGAGCGAAAGCUAGGGGAGCAAACGGG
rnacentral:rRNA from 1 species